UGCACGAAUGGCGUAAUGAUGGCCAGGCUGUCUCCACCCGAGACUCAGUGAAAUUGAACUCGCUGUGAAGAUGCAGUGUACCCGCGGCAAGACGGAAAGACCCCGUGAACCUUUACUAUAGCUUGACACUGAACAUUGAGCCUUGAUGUGUAGGAUAGGUGGGAGGCUUUGAAGCGUGGACGCCAGUCUGCGUGGAGCCAACCUUGAAAUACCACCCUUUAAUGUUUGAUGUUCUAACGUUGGCCCCUGACCGGGGUUGCGGACAGUGUCUGGUGGGUAGUUUGACUGGGGCGGUCUCCUCCCAAAGCGUAACGGAGGAGCACGAAGGUUAGCUAAUCCUGGUCGGACAUCAGGAGGUUAGUGCAAUGGCAUAAGCUAGCUUGACUGCGAGCGUGACGGCGCGAGCAGGUG
rnacentral:rRNA from 1 species